CUGUGGGACGUUGACACGAUCCGUCCUAAGGACGUGAUUCGUGAAGGUUCUUUUUGACUGAUCUCAGGGUGCAAAAACUGACACGACAAGGGGAUUUGCAGUAAAAUCAAAAUACAUAUACUUUUAUUAAAUAGCCAUAGGAAAAAAAUGCGUUAGAGAGAGAAGGGGAAUGAAGAAAGGGAAAAGAAUAAGGAAAAGAAAAAGAAGAGAGGAAGGGCAAGGAGGUAUAUAGCUACCAGACGUGCAGAUGACAAAGUCCCUCCAAGUCCGGUUGACGAAGAGGCCUGUCGUCUUCACGUCAGGGGAGAUCUCAAAGGUGCUCGCUGCCCAAAUUGAUACUCCCCCUGAAAAAUUCCCUACAUGCAAGGGUUCUCCCAGACAAAAGCUGCCAGGACGGAGAGCUCUGGCUGACCUUGGCCUCGGUGGUCACCUCUCAUCUCAAGGAAGCCCUGAGGAAAGUAUUUGAACAGGUUUGACUGCUGGAACAUCAAUGAGUCUCUCACCCUCCGAAAAACUCAAAUGUUCUUCUGAUCAUAUGUGCUUUUUCUUUCUCAUUGUGUAUUAUGCAUGAAAUAUUAUUUUCAGCUAAAAAAUAUUAUUCUUCUCACUACACCAGUGUUAUCUGACAGAAAACACCUCCUCUGCAUAUGGAUGCAGGUCACCUGCAUAAGCAAACACAAUAAAGAAUGCAGCAGGAAUUA